rnacentral:lncRNA from 1 species
UUGAUAUCAAAAAAAAUGCAUGAAAGAGAUUCAAAUUAGCAAGACAAAAAAAAAAAGUGGAAUCAGAUUCAAAUUAUUCAAUCAUCACUAAACAUAAUUUACAGCAAACUAAGACCAAUAUUACGUACGACAAAGCCAGCAUUUUAUUCUCAUUAAUUUAGCUUCAGCAGAAACAAACAUAUAUAAAAAGACCACAUCUACAUGGGAUGAUCAUUCCCUACUCCAUUUAUUUCUUGCAUGCAUGAAGGCAAAGGAGAACCACAUAGAUGAUCAUUCCCCACAAAUGAUUCAAUUGGGAACUUUGUUGUUGGAAUCCGACCACUCAAAUGAUUGUAUGACAAAUCAAGCAUUCUCAGGUUUUUCAAAUUCUUGGGGAUUUUACCGGUCAAAGCGUUGUGGCUAGCAUUGAAUAAUGCAAGUUGUGGUGCCAAGAAUGAAAAUGAAGGUGGAAUUUUACCAGAGAACUUGUUGUAGGAAAUAUCCAGUGACUUGAAAAUAUUUGGAAUUUCACCGGAAAGUCGAUUAUUCUGAAGAUUCAAAUUGGUCAAAUUCUUUAAUCGUUGGAUUCCAUAAGGAAUUCCAUAGGAAAGUUUGUUAUCAUUUCUAAAAGAGUGAAUUGAGAAAUGGAGCUGGGAAUUGGACCUGUGAAUUGAUUUCUUAGAAGGCUCAAAGCACAAACCAACUAUUCGAUUAGAUUUAGGGUUUUUGCCAAAAGAAACUGGGCCUGAAAGUUUGUUAUUUUCAAUGAAAACCUGUUCUAACAUGGCAGUUGGUUGCCACUUUCUGUCUGGUGACAAAUAACGUGGCACAUGUCACAUGACGAAGCUGUUGCUAACACCAAGGCUUUAACGGUCAGUUGGCGUGCAGUACACUGCAGUUGGGUCCAUAACUUGCACAGCUGCUCUGGUGCAGUUGUCCUCGUUUUGUACUCCAUUUUACUAACGCAAAUUUUUCAUUUUAUUCGAAUAAUUGUUGUUAAAUGCAUUUAGUUAGUAUUUGCAGAAUGCAGAUAGGUGUACUAGUGAGGCUGGCAAUUAAAGCCUGAUUCUGUUGUGUCACUCCCUCACUCACUUGUGUCGAUUCAUAAUAUGAUUUCCCUCCCCACUGGAUCAUCCACUUAAACGUCAGAUCAUCUAAAUGUACCUCAUAAAAUAUGUACCCAAUAUCAACCAAACUAAUAGCUGUACGCAUUUCGUACAUAAUUUUAUGUUUGCAUAAUUUUUAGUAACUAAAAAAAAUUUAAUAUUUAUCUUUUAUAUUUAGAUAGAUGAAAAAAAAAUAUCAAUUAAAUAUUUAUAUCUCUCUAUAUAUAUAUCAAAUAAAUGUUUUAUGGGUGGGAGGUAUGGUAAUUUAAAUUAAUAAUAAAAAUAUUUAAAUAGAGGUAUUUUAGGUAUAAUAAUUUUUUUUUGGUUAUGGGCUUUUUUGUCAUGGGCCAGAUAUAUUAUUGGGUUUGGAUUAAUGAUUAUGGAUAAAACCGGCCCAUAAAUAAACACCUGUGUCGCUAACUUUGAAUCAGGUUACGGGAGGACAUUGCUGACGUAAUUUUACUGUUCACGGGGCUGUUCUCUUUAGAGCAUUCCCAAUGGUAGGUUUUAAAAUACUUUUAGACACUUUUAGUAAAAAACUCUUGCCAAUGGUAGCUUUUAACACAUUUUUCAAGUAAAACACUUUUAACUCCUUGGCAAAUUUGCCAAGGACUUAAAAGUGCCACGUAGGAUUUUUUAGCUAGUUAAACAUUAAAUUUACUCAUAAUGUACACUGUUUUUUUUUGGAAAAAUAAAAUAUUAAGUUUUAAUACUUAUUUUAAAACCAACCAUUGGAAACUCUAAAACCACUAAUCACUUUUAACAUUAAUUUUAUGCUAAAACCUUUCCUCUCUCUCCUAUGUGGCACCCCUAAAACCCUUUUACCAUUGGGAAUGCUCUUAGUAGUAAAGAUGAGUGAGAACAAUUUCCUGCAUGGAGGCAAUAGUCAAACAGCUGACUCAGCUUGCAAUGGUUUUGGAUACUGCCGUUCAAUGGUGAGGGACACGCACAAAGGUUGGGCUGAAGAGUUGGACCACCCACGAGGCCACGAUGUUUGCCUGGACAUGUAUUAUUUUGGGCUGACGUACUACUGGCGUUAAGAGUUAGAGAUGGGUUUUAGUAGAUUCACUAGACAAAUGGAGGGAACAAAUGUAUCGAUCAACAUCAGCUAGGUAACAAGGUGUCAAGGUUUAAUGUGUAUUAGCAACUAGCAAGACAACGUCCAUUUCGAUUUAAUCACUACAAAAAAAAUUAUGCCUAUUCCAACUUAUUAAUUGAAAUGCGAAAGACAUUGAAGUUUUUUUCAAGUGAUCGACAUUCAGAGGUAUGUAGAAUGGAAAUCCAAGCACAAGGCUUUUAUGUUAAAACAUGGAAACAAACAAUGUGUGCUUCAUCUUGCUUAGUUGUAUUCAAAAGAGAAUGCAAACCAGGCCCAAGCCCAGUGUUGGAAUAAAGAUCAACAUUAAUCAUCACUGAUAUGUCCCAAUUAUUUUCUUAUUACACUAUGAUAUCAGUUCAAACUAAUAGAUGAUAAUACAUUUAUACAUCCAACUCUCAACAUUAUUCAUCAAUCUAUGUAUGUAUUUUACGUACUUGUAAUAUUGUGUGUUACAAAUCAAGCAGUACUAUCUCUUGCAUGGAGGCAGAGGAGAACCACAGAGACGAUCAUUUCCUAUAAAUGAUUCAACUGGGAACUUUGUUCUUGUUGUUGGAAUUGGCCCACUCAGUUGAUUGUAUGACAGGUCAAGCUCGUCAAGCUUUUGAAAAUUCUUAAGGUAAUCAGGGAUUCUACCAGUUAAAGCGUUAUGGCUAGCCCUGAAAACUUGAAGUUGUGGUGCCAAGAAUGAAAAUGAAGGUGGAAUCUCACCAGAGAGUUUGUUGUAGGAAAGAUACAACUCUCUAAGAGCAAGUGACUUGAAAAAAUCUGGAAUCUUGCCAGAAAGUUGAUUGUUCUGGAGUCUCAAAUAUGUCAUAUUUCUCAAAUGCCGAAUACCAUAAGGAAUCCCACCAGAAAUUUUGUUGUCAUCAAGAUCAAGCUCAAGUAAGUGAGUGAAUUGAGAAAUAGAGUUUGGAAUUGAACCUGUGAAUUGGUUACCAUAUAGAUUCAAUAAUUGAAACCGAUCAGAUUUUGGGCCUAUAUCAAUAUGAAGUUGACCAGAAAGUUUGUUGUUUCUUAUGAAAACAAACUGUAGCCUUGGAAGAUUGAAUAUUUCUUUCGGUAGAGUGCCGGUAAUGUUUGUAUAUUGAAUGGAUAUAUGGCUUAACCGCAGAACUUUAAUGAAUAGUGAAGGGGAAAUUGUGCCUGUUAAGAAGCUACUUGUAUUAGUAGAAUCUCCAUAAAGGGAUAAUUCGGUGACUCGGUCUGUAUUGAUGCAGUAUAUGCCGGACCAACUGCAACAAUCUGUAUCGGGUAUCCAUGAGCUAAGCAUGCCCGAUGGAUCUUGAGUCAUUCCCGAUUUGAAUGCUAGUAGACCAGCUUCAUCAUCCACAUGGCAUUUUGCAAAGCAAAGUGGAGAUAAAACUGUGAGCAAGAGAACAAGUACUAGAGCAAGAUGAUGAGUAGUAGAAGUGAAAGCCAAUGCCAUAACGAAAUGAUAAGUUAGUUGACAUGGUAUUAAGCCGUGAGAAGAGUUUGUUUAUAUAAGGUUCUUUUGUGUUUCCAGAAGAGUUUGAAUGUCUUAGGUGGACAUCAACUUGGGGCAAAUACAUACAGGACUAAUCCGCCGUUAAAUAAGAAUAAGAAAUUUAUUUCGUUUAAUCUUCUUGUUCAAUGGUACAUAAUUUGAUAUUUAUAAGUCAAGUUCGAUGGCUUUGUGGAGAAGAUUGCAAAAUGAAAUAAAGGAAAGAGUACACGAAGACAGGUAUAAAUGGAUAAAUGCCAUGACCAUAGGAAUAUGGGAUGACGGGAAUUCAAUAUAUUGUCCAACAAGUGGGGAUAACCGGAUAAGGAUAUAAGGUAGGUGUGAGUAGGAAAAUUUUCCUUGAUCUCCAUUGAACUGGUCCCUGCCCAUUAACGGAAUCAAUAUUCAAUAGCCUGCAUUUAAUUUCUUUUGUCAGUUCUAAACCCCUGUGAAUAGCUUCAGGUUCCACACAUAACAUUAUAAAAAAAAAACCAGCGAUACAAGUCCAAGCAAACAGAGUAAAUAACCAAGAUCAAAUUGAAACAGAAUUUGGGCAGGGGGUGAGGCUCUCAACAUAAUGUAGGAAAGUACAAGUCACUUGUUGCCUGAGCUUGAAAGAUGUCACUUGUUACCAUUUUUGUGGAAAUGCUAUGAGGUUCAUACUGUAUAACUUCUGCUAUUCUCCUAUGUUUAGGUCCCUCAGAACCCAAAUAUCCCAUUGACAUAACUCACGACUUUGUGCCUCCAUAUUUGGUGCCACAAGAGAUAGACAACAUUCUAUUUCAUGUAAUACAUCCAUUAUAGAGAACCAGAAUGUAGGGACGUCUGACUUGUAAAACUUCUCCCCAGCAGUGUCAAAAGAAAUAAAAGUUACUUGAAGAAAUAAUAGUCCAAGAUUGUAACAUAUCAUUUUCAUAGUAAGCACCACAAAUAAAAUGAAAGACUCCGUUGAUGAUAACAGAAUAUGUCACGACAUACCGGUGAAGUAAGCGCUUGAAAGGCGAAUGUAUCCAUUUCCAUUUACCAAAAGUAGACCAAGAGUAAGCAUUUCACAUUUCAAGGAUCCAGUUUCGUUAAAAAUAUAUUCUUCAGUAGAACCAAGGAAUGUGAUACCGCGCAUAAUAUCUAUAAUUUUGGGCUAUUGAGUACAAGGAGGCAAUUCGACACACUGAUUAGUAACAGGAUUAACAACUAUUAGACGUCCCACACUCGGCAUAUCGUCUAGUAAUAGUAAGCCAUGCAGCUACUUUUCACAAUUUUUUGCAUUUUAAUUUGAAUUGACUAACACUAAAACUCCUGACAUUAUCAAAUUGUAUAUUAUCAAGGUCAACAUAUCUGUACUCAUUACCUGCCUGACUGCCUCUGAUAGGAAAGCAGUUCUUGAUAUGGCAAGAACACCAGGAAUUGAUUGACGAAGGUGAGCAUCUAUAAAUCUGGAACUAUUGAUCAACUCAAACCAUUGUUUGCAAAUAUACCUCAUUCUUUGUAUUUUCUGCGCACAGCACAACGGGGUCGGCAUCGGACACCCACAAGGCAAGGUUAUCUCGUGUUUUAGACAGGAAUCAGGGGCUGAAGCAUCAUGAGCAUGUCAAAUAUGAUAUUCUCGUACAGAUAUGGAAUAAUUAAAUCACCGUUCUUGUGCUCGCAAAUGGUCUUGCUUAGAAGACCUUUGUGAUUUUCCAUCUUUAGCUAAUAUGAAAUUUGCUACCUAAAUAAAAAGAAAAAAAUAAUAAUUAAGGAAUAUGAGAGGUUAUUUAAUCAUAGGAGCUGAUACAUAUCCACUAUAUUUUGCAAUGGCAAUGGCAGGGGAGCAUAUCAGCAGUCAAGUUGUUCCAUCGGAUCAUGGGUUGGCAAUGGCAGGGGAGCAUAUCAGCAGUCAAGUUGUUCCAUCGGAUCAUGGGUUGGCAAUGGCAGGGGAGCAUAUCAGCAGUCAGUUUAUUAGUAUAUAUCUUAUUCUCAAAUUAUGAAGUGUGGUUUGUUAGCAUUUCAAAAAAAAAAAAACUAGGUCUCCAUUGUAAAAAUAUUGGCAUGAAGAUCAACAUUAUUCAUCCAUAUCUGAAUUAUUUUCUUAUUACACUGUAAUACCAGUUCAAACUAAUAAAUAAUACAUCCAAGCAAUUAUCAACAUUAUUCAUCAAUGUAUUGACUGUGCUACAAAUCAAACUAAUACUACUUCUUGCAUGGAGACAAAGGAAAACCACAGAGACGAUCAUUUCCUAUAAAUGAUUCAACUGGGAACUUUGUUGUUGGAAUUGGACCACUUAGUCGAUUGUACGACAGGUCAAGCUCGUCGAGCGUUUGGAAAUUCCUGAGGUAAUCAGGGAUUCUGCCAGUUAAAGCGUUAUGGCUAGCCCUGAAAAAUUGAAGUUCUGGUGCCAAGAAUGAAAAUGAAGGUGGAAUCCCACCAGAGAGUUUGUUGUAUGAAAGAUCAAAAUCUCUAAGAACAAGUGACUUGAAAAUAUCUGGAAUCCCACCGGAAAGUUGAUUGUUCUG